rnacentral:rRNA from 1 species
GACGGGACCGCACAAGCAGCGGAGCGUGUGGUUUAAUUCGUUGCUACACGAAGAACCUUACCAAGGCUUGACAUACACCGGUAACGCCCAGAGAUGGGUGCCCCUUUGUGGUCGGUGUACAGGUGGUGCAUGGUUGUCGUCAGCUCGUGUCGUGAGAUGUUGGGUUAAGUCCCGCAACGAGCGCAACCCUCGUCCUAUGUUGCCAGCGGGUCAUGCCGGGGACUCAUGGGAGACUGCCGGGGUCAACUCGGAGGAAGGUGGGGAUGACGUCAAAUCAUCAUGCCCCUUAUGUCUUGGGCUUCACGCAUGCUACAAUGGCCGGUACAAAGGGCUGCGAUACCGCGAGGUGGAGCGAAUCCCAGAAAGCCGGUCUCAGUUCGGAUUGGGGUCUGCAACUCGACCCCAUGAAGUCGGAGUCGCUAGUAAUCGCAGAUCAGCAACGCUGCGGUGAAUACGUUCCCGGGCCUU